CAGUCGCCGCGGUAAUACGUAGGUGGCAAGCGUUGUCCGGAAUUAUUGGGCGUAAAGGGCUCGCAGGCGGUUUCUUAAGUCUGAUGUGAAAGCCCCCGGCUCAACCGGGGAGGGUCAUUGGAAACUGGGAAAACUUGAGUGCAGAAGAGGAGAGUGGAAUUCCACGUGUAGCGGUGAAAUGCGUAGAGAUGUGGAGGAACACCAGUGGCGAAGGCGACUCUCUGGUCUGUAACUGACGCUGAGGAGCGAAAGCGUGGGGAGCGAACAGGAUUAGAUACCCCAGUAGUCCCUGUCUCUUAUU
rnacentral:rRNA from 1 species